UCUCCCAACAGAGUGAAGACCCGCAGGAAGAAAGCCAGGACAGCAAUGGGCAUGGACAACAUCCACACUGCCAUGGGGCCAGCUUCCCUGGGUCACCAGAAGACGCCACAAUUAGACAGCCCAGCGACCGACUCCACUAGCUCUGCAGGGGCUGCCCCGACCUUGAGGGUGGAGCCAGAGGUGUGUUAUGCCUCCAUCCGCUUUCAGGGGAAGAAUCGUACUCAGACAAGCACCGAAUCGGAAUACUCAAAUGUCAGGACCCAGUGAGAGGCCGAAAUGUCCAUAUCCCUCUGGGAGGAAGGGGGACCUACCAGCUGACUUUUGGAGAGCUCACAUCCCCACAGGCAGUGGGUUUAUAAACUACUGUAGAUGCCUUUCCUGGUAUGUUGGAACCAUCUUAGGCAUUGCAAUCAGAGAGACCUGGGAGCAAGUUCAUGCUCUUUCCGUCGAUUAAGAAGAAUAUGACAUCACCUGAGCCCCCUUACUCCUCCGGGACUUGAUUUCCUGAUUUGUGAUCAGGCGUAAGAAGUUCUACAUCACAGGGUUGCUAUGAGCAUUAAAUAAAAGUGCGCAUGGAACCUGG